GUGAAUCAUCGAAUCUUUGAACGCAAAUUGCACUUUCUGGUAUUCCGGAAAGUAUGCCUGUUUGAGGGUCAGUUAAAUUAAAAUCGGUUUUGUUGCUACCGGUAGUGGGGUUUGUUGCAUCGGAAUGGAUUCGUUCUUUACCUUUGGUUUAAGUGACUUAAAAUUAUGUUCGAUUUUUGAACUUAUUUAAAUUAUUACUUCCGUUCGUAAUGUCACUUAUUAGGUGCGGUCAUUCACAUUAUUUCGCGUCUAUAUUUUUUCAUUAUUUGACCUCAAAUCAGGUAAGAUUACCC
rnacentral:misc_RNA from 1 species